AGAGUUUGAUCAUGGCUCAGAACGAACGCUGGCGGCGUGGAUUAGGCAUGCAAGUCGUGCGCGAAAGUCGUAGCAAUACGGCGAGUAGAGCGGCGAACUGGUGAGUACAAGGUGAAUAACGUGCCCCGAAGCGGGGGAUAACCCCGGGAAACCGGAGCUAAUACCGCAUGGUUUUGUCCUUCUAUAAUUUUGGGCAAAUAAAGCAGUAAUGCGCUUUGGGAUCGGUUCACCUCCCAUUAGCUUGUUGGUAGGGUAACGGCCUACCAAGGCUACGAUGGGUAGCUGGUCUGAGAGGAUGGUCAGCCACACUGGGACUGAGAUACGGCCCAGACUCCUACGGGGGGCAGCAGUCUAGAGGCUUCGUCAAUGGGGGCAACCCUGAACGAGCGACGCCGCGUGCGGGAUGAAGGGCUUCGGCUUGUAAACCGCUUUUCUUCGGGAGAUAAGAUCCAGAUCGUGAAGUUGGGUUUGAAGGUACCAGAGGAAUAAAGCCCGGGCUAACUCCGUGCCAGCAGCCGCGGUA
rnacentral:rRNA from 1 species